AUCCAACUGACGAGUCCCAAAUAGGACAAAAAGCUCAUCUUGGAU
rfam:Schistosoma curassoni strain Dakar, Senegal genome assembly, scaffold: SCTD_scaffold0000942